GAUGAACGCUGGCGGCGUGCCUAACACAUGCAAGUCGAACGAAGCAAUUUAACGGAAGUUUUCGGAUGGAAGUUGAAUUGACUGAGUGGCGGACGGGUGAGUAACGCGUGGGUAACCUGCCUUGUACUGGGGGACAACAGUUAGAAAUGACUGCUAAUACCGCAUAAGCGCACAGUAUCGCAUGAUACCGUGUGAAAAACUCCGGUGGUACAAGAUGGACCCGCGUCUGAUUAGCUAGUUGGUAAGGUAACGGCUUACCAAGGCGACGAUCAGUAGCCGACCUGAGAGGGUGACCGGCCACAUUGGGACUGAGACACGGCCCAAACUCCUACGGGAGGCAGCAGUGGGGAAUAUUGCACAAUGGGCGAAAGCCUGAUGCAGCGACGCCGCGUGAGUGAAGAAGUAUUUCGGUAUGUAAAGCUCUAUCAGCAGGGAAGAAAAUGACGGUACCUGACUAAGAAGCCCCGGCUAACUACGUGCCAGCAGCCGCGGUAAUACGUAGGGGGCAAGCGUUAUCCGGAUUUACUGGGUGUAAAGGGAGCGUAGACGGUAAAGCAAGUCUGAAGUGAAAGCCCGCGGCUCAACUGCGGGACUGCUUUGGAAACUGUUUAACUGGAGUGUCGGAGAGGUAAGUGGAAUUCCUAGUGUAGCGGUGAAAUGCGUAGAUAUUAGGAGGAACACCAGUGGCGAAGGCGACUUACUGGACGAUAACUGACGUUGAGGCUCGAAAGCGUGGGGAGCAAACAGGAUUANAUACCCUGGUAGUCCACGCCGUANNCGAUGAAUACUAGGUGNUUNGGGGAGCAAAGCUCUUCGGU
rnacentral:rRNA from 1 species